rnacentral:rRNA from 1 species
GAUGAACGCUGGCGGCGUGCCUAAUACAUGCAAGUCGGGCGAACGGACGAGAAGCUUGCUUCUCUGAUGUUAGCGGCGGACGGGUGAGUAACACGUGGAUAACCUACCUAUAAGACUGGGAUAACUUCGGGAAACCGGAGCUAAUACCGGAUAAUAUUUUGAACCGCAUGGUUCAAAAGUGAAAGACGGUCUUGCUGUCACUUAUAGGUGGAUCCGCGCUGCAUUAGCUAGUUGGUAAGGUAACGGCUUACCAAGGCAACGAUGCAUAGCCGACCUGAGAGGGUGAUCGGCCACACUGGAACUGAGACACGGUCCAGACUCCUACGGGAGGCAGCAGUAGGGAAUCUUCCGCAAUGGGCGAAAGCCUGACGGAGCAACGCCGCGUGAGUGAUGAAGGUCUUCGGAUCGUAAAACUCUGUUAUUAGGGAAGAACAUAUGUGUAAGUAACUGUGCACAUCUUGACGGUACCUAAUCAGAAAGCCACGGCUAACUACGUG